UUUAAUUCGAUGCAACGCGAAGAACCUUACCUGGGCUAGAAUGCUGGUAGACCGAGGGUGAAAGCUCUCUUCCCCGCAAGGGGCUGCCGGUAAGGUGCUGCAUGGCUGUCGUCAGCUCGUGCCGUGAGGUGUUGGGUUAAGUCCCGCAACGAGCGCAACCCCCAUCACUAGUUGCCAUCAGGUAAUGCUGGGAACUCUAGUGAAACUGCCGUCGCAAGACGCGAGGAAGGAGGGGAUGAUGUCAAGUCAUCAUGGCCUUUAUGCCCAGGGCUACACACGUGCUACAAUGGAGAGGACAAAGGGCUGCCACACGGCGACGUGGAGCUAAUCCCAAAAACCUCUUCUCAGUUCAGAUUGCAGUCUGCAACUCGACUGCAUGAAGCUGGAAUCGCUAGUAAUCGUAUAUCAGCAAUGAUA
rnacentral:rRNA from 1 species